GCACUUACGAAGUAACAAAACCCCGACAGACGAAGGUACAAAGAUUUGUUUUCCUACAGCUAAGAAGGUGCUUACAGAGGCACUUCCAGACUGGGAAUUCAAUCUAGUAGCUACCAAAAGACACGAUAGACGAACAAUACCCAUCACACACUAACACUCCUAGCUUAAAGAAAA